rnacentral:rRNA from 1 species
AUGGCGUCUCUGCUUCUCAAAGGCGUGCACAAGCGCCUGGGCCUGCCGUCCAUCUCCAUCUCCUGCUCCUCCGCCGAGGCCACCAACAUCAUCGCCUCAACCACCACCACCAACGGCGUCGGCAGCAGCAGCGGCCGGGCCCUCGACCGCCACUCGCCCCGCCUCCGCGACCCACACCGCUCCUCCACCUCCAAGCCGCCAAGGCCAAGCACCAGCGCCAGCGCCAAAGACUCGGCGUCCUCCGGCGACUCCAAGCAGCAGCGCGGCCACGGCAACAACAAGAAGAAGAAGAACAAGAGCACCACCGCUCCUGCUGGGACUAAAUCUUCAGAGAAGAGGCUGGUAAGCCCGGCGACGUCGUCCAGGUUCCUCCUCAACUCCUCCCGGCUGCAGUCCGACGACCUCGACGUCCUCGCACUUGCCCCGCCGCCGCCGCCGUCGUUCAUCGACGUGUUCCCCGGCGGCGAAGGGAAGCCGCCGUCCUUCAUCGACGCGUUCCCCCCCGGCAACGCCUCGCUCCCUCUUUCCUUCGCGAAGGAGGCACCGUCGCCGGUACAGCAAGCAGAGACCUCCUCGUCCUCCUCCUCUGCUUCGUCGUCGUCGGAGAUCACAGCCCUCCAAGAAGAAGAGGAGCAGCAGAAGGCGGCGGUGCUGGCGCGGUCGUCCACGACCACGGAGAGAAGAACGACGCAGGUGGUGGUUUUGAGGGUGUCGCUGCACUGCAAGGGGUGCGCGGGCAAGGUGAAGAAGCACCUCGCCAAGAUGGAGGGCGUGACGUCGUUCGACAUCGACAUCCCGAGCAAGAAGGUGACGGUGGUCGGCGACGUGACGCCGCUGGGCGUGCUCACCAGCGUCUCCAAGGUCAAACCCGCGCAGUUCUGGCCGUCGCCGCCGCAACCGCCCCGCGCCUCCGCGUCCUUCUGA